GCCUGGCGGGCUGUCCCUCCCGGGCUCCCCGCCGGGCUCAGGCUGUGGGACGGGACCUCGGGAGGAGGAUACUCCAGUCUCCAGAGACGGACUCCCACUGACUGCCCCCUACCGCCACCCGGGGCCCCUGGGUCGCUGGGAAGGGGCCCUCGGGAAAGACACCAGAGCCUGGAAGGGUGCAGCCGGGCUCACAAGGGCUUGGUGAGUGGAGGCCCUCCUGUUCCACGUCGGGGUCGGGGUGCAGGGGCCAGCGCUCCACGGUCCAUCGGGCCCAAGCUAGGGCUCCGCAUCACACUCGCCCCUCACCCCAUCCCCAACCCUGCCGCGUGGGCUGUGGCACAGAGGUGGCAAACACCCCCAGGGCCUUGUGCCCGGUAAUUACCAAGCAAAUUCCCAGCGAAUUCCUCUCCCCACCCCGGGGCAGCGCCUGCUGCGUGUUCUCUGAUUCAGGCCGGGAAUGUGCAAACAGCGCCCGGGAACCUGCGGGGACCCGUAAUUGCUCUGGAGUUGCCCGGGACUUUGCAAGGGGCCGCCGUGCUUUGGGGCCGCCAGAGAACCUCAGCCUCCUAGUAUGGACUGGAAAUGCCAGACCCCCGGAAAAAAGAAUUCGGAGGAGAAAAAUGAGUGGGCUGGAAACGGAUUUGAAGAGUCAAUGUGACCUCACACUGAUGUCGUUAGUGAGAUAGGGAGAGAAUUCUGUGUUUUGCACAAGUUCUCUCUAGGAAGGAGAUUGUUCCAGUUAUGGACUCUCAAGGUUGAAGGGGACUCAGAGAUCGUCUGGAUCUACUUUCUUUGGAUUAUCGUGAGGAUCAGAGAAGAUGGUGUGAAGUGCCUGAGAUGCCUGCCCAGGUCAGAUCUCAGGUGUGCAUGAGAUGCAGUCCAGAGGGAUGCAUGGGAAGGUGAGAAAGGAAGGCGGUGAGAAAGAUUUGACCCUCUCUGGGUCUUUGCUUUUGUUCUCCGUGGCCCUUCCUUGAAGACGAGUCAGGAGAAAGAGCUCUCAAGCCUCCCAAAUCCAGAAACAAAACCACAAAGCACCUCCUCAUCAUCAUUCUCCCACCCCCUCCCGAAGUCAGCAAAUCCUGAGAUGCCUUCUUGGAGAGAGAGCUUGCAUUGAGGAAGAGGGUUCCAGCUUCACUCAGUGCUUCAUGUGAGGGUCUUAGGAAGAGACAAGAGCCAUCUUAAGGACACCUACCCUGGACUCCCACCUGAGCUGCCUACCUGCCUCCUGCUUGAGGAAAAUAGACAUAAAGCCUUGUUGGUGGGACUUUCAAUUUUGUCCCCUCUUUCAUCUUGAGAGCCACUGUCCAGCUUUCCACUUCUGUGCCCCCUUAUCCUUCCUCCACCCCCAUCUUCCGCUCUACAAAGCCCCUGCUAGAAGUUGACAAAGCUGACUGGCUGCUUAAUGUGCUACAGGUGUUGUUGCUAGGCAACCACCCUACUCUGAGGCUCAGGCUCUGUCAGCCCAGCUCAAACCCCUGGUAGCACUUAACCCCAUAACUUCUUACCGCAAACGCUAAUUACCCAGGCUCAGUGAGCAGCACAUUUAUACCCCAUGAUCAAGGAGCGGAAGGAUUGAUUCUCAGCACCUUCAGACCUUCAACCAACACUGCUCGCCACUGAGCCCUGCGUCAGGCCUCCCUGAGCAUGAUGUGGAGACCUUUUGUCUAUAAGUGUCUGUUCCUCCU